AUUGAACGCUGGCGGCAGGCCUAACACAUGCAAGUCUACCGAGUGGCGGACGGGUGAGUAAUGUCUGGGAAACUGCCUGAUGGAGGGGGAUAACUACUGGAAACGGUAGCUAAUACCGCAUCCCAUCGGAUGUGCCCAGAUGGGAUUAGCUAGUAGGUGGGGUAAAGGCUCACCUAGGCGACGAUCCCUAGCUGGUCUGAGAGGAUGACCAGCAACACGGGAACUGAGACACGGUCCAGACUCCUACGGGAGGCAGCAGUGGGGAAUAUUGCACAAUGGGCGCAAGCCUGAUGCAGCCAUGCCGCGUGUAUGAAGAAGGCCUUCGGGUUGUAAAGUACUUUCAGCGGGGAGGCGUUACCCGCAGAAGAAGCACCGGCUAACUCCGUGCCAGCAGCCGCGGUAAUUC
rnacentral:rRNA from 1 species